UAGGGAAUCUUCGGCAAUGGGGGGAACCCUGACCGAGCAACGCCGCGUGAGUGAAGAAGGUUUUCGGAUCGUAAAGCUCUGUUGUUAAGGAAGAACGAGUGUGAGAAUGGAAAGUUCAUACUGUGACGGUACUUAACCAGAAAGGGACGGCUAACUACGUGCCAGCAGCCGCGGUAAUACGUAGGUCCCGAGCGUUGUCCGGAUUUAUUGGGCGUAAAGCGAGCGCAGGCGGUUAGAUAAGUCUGAAGUUAAAGGCAGUGGCUCAACCAUUGUAGGCUUUGGAAACUGUUUAACUUAGGUGCAGAAGGGGAGAGUGGAAUUCCAUGUGUAGCGGUGAAAUACGUAGAUAUAUGGAGGAACACCGGUGACGAAGGCGGCUCUCUGGUCUGUAACUGACGCUGAGGCUCGAAAGCGUGGGGAGCGAACAGG
rnacentral:rRNA from 1 species